UACGUAGGGGGCAAGCGUUGGUCCGGAAUCAUUGGGCGUAAAGAGCGUGUAGGCGGCCCGGUAAGUCCGCUGUGAAAGUCCAGGGCUCAACCCUGGGAUGCCGGUGGAUACUGUCGGGCUCGAGUCCGGAAGAGGCGAGUGGAAUUCCUGGUGUAGCGGUGAAAUGCGCAGAUAUCAGGAGGAACACCGGUGGCGAAGGCGGGUCUCUGGGCCGAUGACUGACGCUGAGGAGCGAAAGCAUGGGUAGCGAAACAGG
rnacentral:rRNA from 1 species